UGUUGCCAUUGUAACUUGUUUUUGUAAGAUCCUCUUGAGCAAAAAUCCAUUUUAAAGUUAUUUUGCUGUUCUUACUACAGUACUGAAAGUCAUUUUAUUUUGAGAUGUUCUGAUAAAAAGUGUGCUUUUCUUCCUCACCUCACUAAAAUUUUUUUUCUCAAAUGCUCCUACCUUUUAAAAACAAGAUUCACUUUCUUAGAAAAGAAGCCAUAGCACGAUUUCAUUGUUUUGUUCCUCAUUUUCAGUGGUUCCUUACUACUUACUUUAUACUGACAUUCAAGUUCUACCACAAUCUGUCCCUAACCUACCUUUUUUAGCUUUAUCUCCAACUAAACUUUUAAAGAAUACUACAGCCAAUCUGUAAUUUCUCUUAACGUGCAUUAUGCUUCCCCACCCCCAUAACUUUCCCAACUCUUUCUCCCACCAAGGAAGAUUGAUCUGGCAUGUCAUGGUUUACCUUUUCAUGUUAAAAGAGAAAUGACAGCAGUACCAUGACACCCUUCUCCCCACCCCCCUUUGUUUUUCUCAAAGCUGAGCCUAUUCCACAAGAAAAUUACAUUUUUGGCGUUGCUAGUCAUUUCUGGAUCUUUCUUUGCCUAAGGCCAGAAACCGGGAGUAGUUUUAUUAUCAUUAACAUACCUGCAAUUCUUGUUCCCUAAAAGGAAGCCAUGUAUUAAUAUGGUUUGGAUCUGAGAUCCUUACUCAGGUAAAACUCCCACUGCUUUGGCUGAAGUCACUGGGACUUUUGCCAAAGUUAGACUGCUGCAUCCCAGCCCAAGUGAACUCCAGGUGGUCUUCCAAGAACUUUGUUGUCCACUCUUUGCAGUGACACCCUGGGAAGUCUGUUUAACCUCCCUGGAAAAAUCUAUUAGUUUUUGUUGGGUUUCGAAUUGAGUUUGCAUAAAACACAAAUGACUAUCUCAUAUCUUACGAUUUAAUAUGUGUGGGUCUCUUGCAGUGUUUGGACAAAAAUGUUGCUGUCACAGGGAAUUCUUGUAAACAGAAAAAUAAAUUGAGAUAAAGAUUAUAAUUAAAGGGUAGGAGAAAAAGCUCCAUUAUUCUACUGUUUGAGACCUGAGUUCAUUGGUAUAGAAAAUUUCCAGUGGGGAAAGGUUAUUUAGUCCUAAAGGCGGAUCUGCAACUGCUCCGCAAUUUUGUUAGUUAUCUGGGACCUUGAAAGGUUAAUUAAUUUGCACAAUAGCAUCAAACUGCCAGAAUUUCAGUGACGAAACUUUAAAGAACAUAUGUAUUAAAAGCAGAUCAGAAACAAAUCCAUUUUGGAUCACCUUUUCAGUUUCUCCAACACUGUGUCCCCCUCCCCGGCAUCAGUUAAGACCGGGGCACUACAAAGUGCCCCUUGCGGAUCCCCAGCGGUCACUUGCUUGGCCAGAGGCAGGCCUCAUCGCCCCGCCAGCCGCAGAGAACCUAGGCUCAAAGACAGGGAGGGCCGCCUGGCCCAGAAGCGCCAGAGUCGGGGGCUCGAAGCAGGAUGGGGCGGGGCGAGAAAGACGAGCGGGGCAGUGCCGGAAGGGCUGGGACGUUGGAAGAGUGGGUGGGGCCUGCGGGUGGCUAGCCAAGACCUUCAGAAAAUUUCCACUCCCGGUGGCGGUCCCAGCUGCAGGCCCUCCCUUUCCCUCCUUUUUCCGCACGUUCAUGUGACCCGUGACUCAGUGGGCACCGCCUUAUUGCGUCUGGCGGCGGGCUAAGGGAGGGGAAGCGAGUGUGCGCAGAGCCAGCGCUUGAAACGGGUGGCAGGUUGGGGCGGUUUGCCGCAGCUGCCGCACGCCGCGGACUGCUCCGUAGCGCCUGCUCUUGGAGAGGCUGCUGUUGCCAUGCGCGCCCGCACCCGCCGGAAGAGAGCGCGUGACGGGAAGCCCUAGCGGGCCCUGCAAGGUCAGGAGGAGACUGUUCCUGGCGAGGGUAUUAAGGCCUCGUAGCCUGAGAUGCCAGUUCAGGACGGAGGCCGUUGAGCCAGAGGACCUCGGAAGCGGCCUAGCAGGGAGGUCGUGCUGUGGUCAGGGUCUGUGUUCGGCCCGGCUUCCCAAGGGUGGAGCUUUGGCAAGACUUCUGCUGCACUGGGGGCGGCCCGACAUUCUCCUCGGAGUGAUUCCUUGUGGAGUUCUGAGGGAAUAAGGAAGAGCUCCUUGACAGGAUGGAAAAAAAUUCAAGAAGUCUUUUCAAGACUUGAAAAGUGUGGGGGUCUGAUGGCUGAGUAGAAGAUUGAAGGACCUUCCACCAUCAAGGGACGCAAAGAACAGCUGUGCUGACCAGACAUGUCCAGGGCUGGGCUGAUGCAGCACGGGAGAAGGAGCUUGCACACAUCUGGAAAUUUGAGCAUUCCCUGUUCACUUGAGAGCAGUGGUGAUUGAAAGGAAUUUGCAAGAAUGCCACCCUGGGGAGGAGACACAAGACCUCUGACUGACAGAGAGGAAGCUUUGUCCUGUGUACCAGUAUUAGGCAUAUUUACUGGAAGCUUUAAGAAUCAAAUUGGUGAUUUGUCCCUAGGAGGGUUGAUUUUUGUAUUGUCAAAGAGAUAAUUGUAUAUUGUCAAUUAGUGAAGAAAGAUUGCAAACGAUGAUGAAUGUAAAUAUGAUUUAUUGCUUCCACUACACUAGUCAGUAAACAUAAUGGUAAAUCUAAUUCAAUCCAAUAACCAUUUAUCAAGUGCCUACUAUGUGCUAGACAGUGUGCUAAGAACUGGGGAUACAAUUAAUAAAAAGAAAAGUAGUCCUUGCCCUAAAGGAGCUUGUAAUCUAAAGGGGCAGACAACAGACAAAAGAAUGGAUAAAGGGAAGGGGGACACAACACCAAGGGGAUAUAUGGCAUGGGGGGGCAUCUCAUUCCAGUUCGAACCAGGCAGAACAGCAGCUGUAAAGUGGAAUGAUCUUAGAGUCCAGUUUCUGCAUUAGGAGGAGUCUGGUGUACCACACUCCAGCAGGUGGUAUCAACCAAGACUUGGGUUAGAAGCAUAGUGCUGAGUUCAGAAGUGUUGAGGAGGGGCAUCUUGUCCUGUACAGCUGAAACCAGGCAGAGCCUGGUAAAUCCUUUCCCUAUGCAGUAUACCUGCGUAAUGUAAAUAUGGAUAGCUUGCAUGUGAUAUGAAUAGAUACCUGAUCUGGGAUCUGGUCUAUCUUUUCUCCAAAGGAUAUUGAAAUUUCCACCUUUGUGGAAAAUAGGAGGGCCGUGUCAGCAAUGUCAGUAAUUUAUUGGGGAAGGGCCAGGCAAGAUUAAAGAUGAAUAUUACUGAGUUCUUUCAUUUUCUCAUUUAAAAAAUAGUAUACACACACACACACACACACA